UCCGUAAGCAGAGCCCUAGUUUAAUCUCCUCCCCAACAUCAAUCUCCCCCACCUCCGUUUUGAUUCCACCAUUGGCCCACCUUUCUUUCCACCACCGACGUUGAACCACACAGUACGACACACAAAUACUCCACCUCGUGGGGUGGAAUCGCUGCGAAAAACUCCAUUAUUUCAGGACUAGGGUAGGGCGAUGACUAGGGUUUUUUUCACCUCGUACGACACACAAAUACUCCACAAAAUUAGGUGUUGGACCACCACCCCCAGUAAAGCGACAAUAACUCUAUUCUUAACAGCCCAAAAUACGCUGGGGGCAAGAAAACAUCUUCUGACCCGAUCGAGGUAAAUUUUCUUAACAUAACGUGCCUACUUAGAUAUGCUUUUAACUGUGGGGUAUCGAGCACCAAUAAGUUGGAUUUCUACGUAUAUAGAGAUGAGGGGUUUAGAUUUGUAGUAGAUGAUGAAUCCCUUAGUCAAAUAGCAUCGGAAAACAUAGGUGGGAAACUUGGUGAAUUAGAUGUGUUUGUGGAUAUAGGAGAAGUGAUAGAAGCAGAUGGUGAGUCCGAGUAUGAUGUAGAGUAUUAUACUGAAUCAGAACUGGAUGAGUGCGAUGAUGAUUUGUUCGAUGAAUAUGUGGAUGGGAUUUAUGAGGAGCUAUCUGGUGGGGUGACGAAAGGAAUUGAAGUUGAUAGGAGUGUGAGGGCAUACAAGUAGGUGAGGCUUCUGAAUCUGACAGAGAAUUUGUCAUUGGUUCAGAUACUGAUGAGGAGGAUGAUUGUUUGAUGAUAAUGUGGAUGAUAUAUCCGAGGAGAUUAUCGGUGAUUUAGAAGGAGACAGAGAAAAACAUAUGGAUGAAAGGGGAAGAGUGCAUUUGAGGGGAUGCUGAGCAUGAGAUAAAAAAAUAUAUUGGAGAUUGAUAAUGAACUUACAGAAUUGGUGGAAUCAGACGACGGUGGCUUGAAGGAGAAGCCUUUUCCCACAUUCCAGGAAAAUGAUUUGUUUUCACCAGAGUUUGAAAUUGGUAUGGCCUUUUCAAGCGGGAAUGAGUUGAAAUAUGUUGUGAACUCCUACGCUGUUGUCAAUAGGGGGCAAAUAAAGUUCACAAAAGUUGACCCAAAAAGAGUGUACGUUGAUUGUGGUGACAGUAGUUGUAGAUGAAAAAUUUAUGUACGUGUUACGGAUGCUGGAAUUGGAUUUGAGAUCUCAGUAUACCAUGGAGAACAUAAUUGUGAGUAGAAGUUCAACCUGUCCAAUAUGAAAAUGAAGUGGUUGAGCGAUAAGUAUGCAAAUAAGUUGAAAUCCGACCCAAAAAGAACAAUGAAAGGAUUCAAAAUGGAUGCUAUCAACGAAUUACAAGUAAGGGUGUGUUUGUUUGGGGGUUUGGAUUUUGAGUUGGGAUUUGAAUAGUAAAAAUUUUGAAUUUGAAUAGUUGUAUGAUGUGAUAUAAAUAGGUGUUGAUGUGAUGUUUUGAAUGUAAAAUUGAUUUUUAAUAUAAUAUAAAAAAUGAAAAAUAGGUGUUUGAUUUGAUGUUUUUGGGGGGAAAUUUUUGGAUGAAUAGUAGGAUUUUGUGUAAGUCCUACAAACGAACACACCCUAAAUGUGUCAAAGGAUAUGGCCUACAGGGCCAAAAAAAGAGCUUUGAAAGAGUUGGAAGGGGAUGCCACACAUUAGUAUGGUAGACUUUGGGAUUAUGCCCAUGCACUACGACAAUCUAAUCCUGUGACAAUUGUUGUGUUAGGGACCAAGGUGGAUGGGGAUAACUCCACAUUUGACAUAAUGUAUAAAUGCCUUGAUGCACUGAAAAGGGGACUCAAGGAAAGUUGUAGGCCUUUUAUUGGCAUCGAUGGAUGUCAUCUUAAGACUGUUUAUGGGGGAGUCUUGUUGUCUGUUGUUGGUUUCGAUCCAGACAAUUUUAUUUUUCCGAUAGCGUUUGCAUCAGUGGCAAAUGAGACUUGGAAAAUGUGGACUUGGUUUCUGACAUUAUUGAAGAGGGAUUUGGAAAUAACAUCUGAAUGGGAAAGUUGUUUUAUGUCUGAUAAACAUAAAGUAUUUGUGCAAGCAUUGUUGGAUGUUUUCCCUGGGAAGAAGCACCGAUGUUGCGUGCGGCACUUACACAAUAAAUUUUUGACCACUGGCUUUAAAGGGACAGCAUGGAAGAAUGCCUUAUAGAAGGCAGCGCGGGCACCCACUGUUGGUGAAUCUAGACAGAAGAUGGAUGGGGUAAAGGAGUUUGACGAAAAGGCGUGGGAGUAGCUUCGAGCAAAGCCUGCUGAGGAAUGGAGCAAGUCACACUUUAAGCUAUUUUCUAAGUGUGAGCUGCUUAUUAAUAACGUGUGAGAGUUUUAACAGUGUCAUAUCCGAGGCCCAAGACAAGCAUAUUUUAUCUAUGUUUGAAGAGAUUCAAGUGUAUCUUAUGAAGCGAUUGCAAGCUAACAGUGAUCAUGCACACAAAAAAUAGGGGGACUUGGUGAUUUGCCUGAAGGCAAAUCAGGUUGUUCGAAGGAAUAGAGCAAAGGUGGCAGAUCGUAUUCUGAUCAAGUCAAAUGACAAGUAUUAUCAGAUAUCUCGCGCUGAUGGAAGACAACACAGUGUGGACUUGGCCGACAGGACGUGUUCGUGUAGGACGUGGCAAUUGAGUGGGAUCCUAUGUAAUCAUGUUAUCUCGGCAAUCGGAAAUCAAGAGGGGGAUGCGAUAGACUAUCUGAGCAGCGUGUAUGAUGUGGAAACAUAUAACCAAGUCUAUGACUAUUCAAUCAGAGCCGUAAGUAGUGAGGUGUUUUGGGAACACACAACUUACCCUCCUCCAGAGCCACCCACUGUUAGGAGACGCAUUGAGAGGCCAAAGAAACUACAAAAACGUGAUCCAGGGGAGCCUCGAAAAAAUGUUGAAAUAAAAUAGGGAAAAUCGAGGUUGAAAAUAAGACAAACCGCCAUUGAAUGUGGCCAUUGUGAUGUUGUUGGCCAUAAUGCAACCCACUGCCCAUCCUUGAACUCACAACAUAAGGAUACAACUAUGGAUAAGGGAGAAACUAUGGAUGAGGGAGCAACUAGUGAAGAACAUUUGCCCGCAGCUAAAGAACAAUGCGGACGAACUUCGGUCCACGAAAGUGCUCCGUACAAUUAAACUAUCCUAGGGUGAGACUGAGGAACAAAUUGAACCAACACAAAAAGAAUCCACUACCAAUGUUGCGUGCGGAAGGGUUGAUCAAAUUGCACAACCGAAAUGAAAAAGACAACCAAUGCUACCUUUACGGCGCAGUACAAUAAAUGUUAGGGCACGUAAUGCAUCGGGAGGUAUUGAACAAGUUUCCGUUGAACCAGAUCCCCCAGCAACCGUGAUUGAACAAUGUCCAGUUGAAGCAGAUCCCCAAACAACCCUGAUUGAACAAAGUCUUAUUGAAAGUUGUCUCUCAACAACCAUGAUAGAAAGACCUAUUGUACAUCUAAACUAUAUUUUCGACAGCUUAUUCAAUCUUAAUACAUCAUUUGACGUUUUAGUU